AUUGAACGCUGGCGGCAUGCCUUACACAUGCAAGUCGAACGGUAACGGGUCCUUCGGGAUGCCGACGAGUGGCGAACGGGUGAGUAAUAUAUCGGAACGUGCCCAGUAGUGGGGGAUAACUGCUCGAAAGAGCAGCUAAUACCGCAUACGACCUGAGGGUGAAAGGGGGGGAUCGCAAGACCUCUCGCUAUUGGAGCGGCCGAUAUCAGAUUAGCUAGUUGGUGGGGUAAAGGCCUACCAAGGCAACGAUCUGUAGUUGGUCUGAGAGGACGGCCGGCCACACUGGGACUGAGACACGGCCCAGACUCCUACGGGAGGCAGCAGUGGGGAAUUUUGGACAAUGGGCGCAAGCCUGAUCCAGCAAUGCCGCGUGCAGGAAGAAGGCCUUCGGGUUGUAAACUGCUUUUGUCAGGGAAGAAAUCUUCUGGGCUAAUACCCCGGGAGGAUGACGGUACCUGAAGAAUAAGCACCGGCUAACUACGUGCCAGCAGCCGCCGUAA
rnacentral:rRNA from 1 species